rnacentral:lncRNA from 1 species
AUAAUCAGUAAAUAGAAAGGUGCAAAAGUUAAUAAAGUAUAUAAAUACCUGUUUUAAGCAAAGUUAGCAGUCUCAAUUGGCGUCCUUUCUGACCUAAUGCUGAAAGGCCAGUCGCGGUAUCUGCACCUGCUAUUUCCAUAGCUACUCUAGCUUCUGAAGGAAACAACCGUACAAAUGCCACUGCAAAAUAUUAAGAAGCUGUUAUGGCACUCAUCCAGGAUAGGCAUAAAUUUUUUUGUACCUCAUUACUUUUGGGGCAAAAAACAAGAAAGUUUUGAUGACAAAGUCUUGUGCAAUUAUUCAUCAAAAACCAGUUCAGUGCAAACCACGAAGCCUAGAUCAGAUGGAUUCAGAAUUCUCCAUUCCAAAAAAGGGGAUCAAAUCACAUGACUGGCCAACAGUGUGCCCCAAGCAAUGAGCGCAUGUGUGUUUGAGAUGCUAAAAUGAAGGGACUCACAAACUCUUGAGAAGAUGAUUUACUAAUACCAGUAAAGGAAUAUCACCUCUAUUUUCCAUAUGAAGGGACAAACAAACAGUAGAAAGAAGUGUGCAUAGCACAAACUCUGAGAAGGUGAUGAACUAAUACAAGUAAAGAAAUAUCACCUUUUUUUUCCAGGUAGUUCAGCUUCCUUUGGAAAUCAUCAUCCAUCACCUCUGAUGACAUUGCCAAGUUCUCAGACAUGGAGUGCCUUCUCAUCUCUCUCUCAAGGACGUCAAUGCAUAACUGGUCUUUGUUAGUUUCCUGCCCCUGCUUUGUAGCUUCAAGAUAAUCCUUUCGCCUUGUCACUCUCCGACAGAUUGCUACAGCUGUUUGCCAAUCUGAUGUAGUUUCUGAUGCGCAUGCUCCCUUGCUCAGCAGAGUCACCAUCACUUCUGGCUCAUUACGCCUUGCAGCCACAUGAAGCACCGUACGUCCUCUUGCAUCCUUAAGAUUGAGACCAGCCAAGUCCAUAUUGAGCACUUCCUUAAAAACCUUAGGGUUGCAGUAGGCAGCAGCAUAGUGCAGAGCGUAAGCAUCAUCCAGAGUGACAUUAGAUACAUCCAGAAGAAGCGUCAACAGUUCAAAAUCAUCAGUGUCCAGAGCCUUGUGGAUUCUUCUGACUGUUUUUUCACGCAAAGGAUCCACUUCUUUUGUGUUAGCUUCAGACUCCUGGUUAGAUUUGACACGGAGUGAUUUGAUUUCACUUGAAACUUCAUCAGGAAGCUCUUUCUCGAGACAAACAUUGUCAAGAUUUGACUUUGCAAUUCUCUGGAUGCAGACAGAACGGAGUUGGUUCAGUUGGCAAUGCAAGGCAGCCACGAGAAUUGGGAUUACAUUUUCCACGAGAGCCUUCUCAACCAUGCUCCGAAGCCAAAGCUACACGGACAGAUAGAGUUUUGAUUCAGAAUAAUAUAUUCAAAAUUCAAAUACCCCAUAGUGGGUAAUUAUUGGUAAACAUCAUAAAGCAUAUAUAAAAUGCUACAAGCACAGAUAGGGUUUUGAUUCAGAAUAAGAUAUUCAAAAUUCAAAUACUUAAAGAGGAUAAUCUGUGCAGGAAAAUAAUAAUGAGGGGGAAGUUCAGUGUCAUGCUUAUUAAACCUUAAUGCCGAUGGACCAAUGUUCAGAGACAUAAGCUCGCCUGCACAAGAUGUUAUUCUACAGCAUUAACAAUUUGCUAGGUUAUAGCCUGGACGGGAAAAAAGAGAAUCUCUCGCAUUCACUGUUGAGAGCUUGAAAGCAUGAGAGAACUAACCAUCAAGUGAGUGAAGAAAAUACGGAUAAAACAACCUAAAUAACAGAACAGUCAAGCCAGAGCAUGAACUGACACCCACCCAAAUGAAAAUUGGUGGUCAAGUAAAAUUUUUUCCAGACUCAUGUAAUCUAUAUACCUUUUUGGUUAGUUUUUAUCAUUCUUGGGAGUCAGUGUCAGCAAGCAUUGAUUCCUUUAGUUCGCUGCCCAUCAUCAUCACUUUUGUCUCUUUCAAAAUAAAACAACAGACUCUUGCAAGAUAAGACUAAGUUUUGGGCUCUACGGUAUCUACACUUCUUAACAAGCUAAUUUUGGAUCUACUACAAUGCCUAAUAUUGGGAACCACCGAAGUUGCUUCACAACUGAAAUUGAUUUCAAUCCCAUAUAUGUUAAAACUAUACCAAGAAGCAUAAAUUUAAGCAAUACAAAUAGCAGGGAAGCACAAUUACCUGCAAAAGAAAAACGAGUUCUUUCAUCUGAAAAGCAGCGGAAGCAUACAUCAACUCAAUAGCAUAAUUAAUAGCAGGAGGGCAAGCAAAAUGAGCACAAGCAUCAUCAACACACGUGGACACUUCUGGAGGAGAUUCCUUAAUCAUUCCAACGUAAACAAGCAUCAUCAACACACGCGGACACUUCUGGAGGAGGUGCCUUAAGCUUCCCAGUGUAAAGACGAUGCAGGAUAUCAUUGAAAGCUUCAUACCCAACCUUCCCAUGAGGCACCAAAUCAGUCAAAAGAUACUUGGGUUUCCCCUCACUGACAGAACCAUCAUUUCUCAAAUUAAAAAGCCGACGAAAAAAUUGACUGAGCUCAGACAAUACGCUGCGAUUAACCGCCACUGAUUUGCCCUCAACAACAAUCUCAGCUUCAAGCCAUGUCUCUUUGGGAUUGGUGCUUUGCAUCCUUAAGUUCAAAUUAUCAAGAUCACAAGUGCCUGUUGAUUGAUUAGUGGACCAACAAGUCAGAUAUGAUGAGACAAAACUCAAAGAUGCUGACUUUUCGUUCGCAUUUUCCAUGAUACCAUCAAGAACCAUAUUCAAACUGAAUCUAUAUAUAUAUAUAUAUAUAUAUAUAUCAAGAAAGAAUAAUAUCAAUCACAAUGAAAGGCUUAUAACUGAAGCUUGAAUCGCGAUCUACCUAUUAGGUUUAAAGAUGAAAGUUUUGACCCAAGUUCACGGGUCGCGAAGGGGUAAUUUCCAGUUUUCUACCCUGAGGUUUGUCGUUUCUCCACUAUGGCACGUGGGUGAUGUGGCACUAAAUGUGUAGACGUUACUCGUGGUCCGGGUGCUUUUAAGUAUAAAAUAGUGCCUCUUUUAACAGCUUAAGUUUUUGGGAGGAUUGGUAAGCGGCUUAAGUGAAUAUAUAUAUAUAUAUAUAUAUAUCAAGAGAGAAUACUAUCAAUCACAAUGAAAUGCUUAUAAGUUAUAACUGAAGCUUGAAUCGCGAUCUACCCAUUAGCUUUAAAGAUGAAAGCUUUGACCCAAGUUCACAGGUCGCGAAGGGGUAAUUUACAGUUUCCUCCCCUGAGGUUUGGCGUAUCGCCACUAUGAUAGAAAGUAUCACCGUAUAUCCGAUUUUACCCCCGAUUGUUUGUAGACUGUUUUGUUGACCGUAUGUUGACUACUGAAAAGACAAAGAUACCCCUCACGCUAAAUCAAGAACUGAAAGCUCAAAUUUUCGGCUGCUGUGAUGUGAUGUGCCUUCGCGUGGAAGGGUUAAGUACUUUCGAAAUGACAAAACACCACGGACAAUGACAUUACCGAUUCAUUAAAAAAAAAUAAUAAUAAAUUAAAUACAAGUAUACAACUCUAUUACUUUGCCAGCUAUAAAUUGUUACAUUUCCAAACAAAAAAUAAAUAGAUAGAUAGAAUAAAAAAAAUAAAAACACAUUUCCUAUUUGUUUCAUUUGCUUCUCAAGUUAUACACAGUAUCAAAAUUGUAAACACUGGAAUCAAACCAUGUAUUCACAAAUCACAAAGGUCAAAAUAUAUAAAACAGAUCAACAACAAUUUAUGCGCCGCGUUGAAAGUUUUCUCGUCUAGGACUGGCAAGCACCCGAAUGGCUAGAUCACCAACAACAAUUUAUGAGCCACUGUGUCUUGGUUUCACUGAAUUGCUGGAUGAUUAGCUUGGCCUUUGAAGCUGAAAUUUUCACCUACAAGAUCUGAGAAAAUAAUUAAAUGAAGUAAUAUGACAUACAAUAAAUUCAACAAAAUAAAAAGGACAAAUUGAACAAUUUAGCAAUGUUGAAAUUACCAAAUCAGUAAGCAGAACAAUUACUUGAUAAGACUUUUGACUUGUCUAACCCAAAAUUGUACCCAGUUCUACACUCUACUAUGAAUCUUAUGAAGCCAAACUUAGUUUAACCUAACAACACUAUUAACUCAGUUAAAAGAAGCUGCUGUACGGCCAAGGCGUUGACUUGUCUAACCCAAAAUUGUACCCAGUUCUACACUCUACUAUGAAUCUUAUGAAGCCAAACUUAGUUUAACCUAACAACACUAUUAACUCAGUUAAAAGAAGCCGCUGAAAUAACUGAAAUUUAAGGGGAAAAAAAACUUGAUAAAACUAAAAGUAACUUAUAAUAGUCUAUUGCAGCCGCAUACAAAACAUGAAGAUAAAUAAACAUGGGGUCUAUUUUCUUGACACUACCAAGUUUGGGAUUCAAAAUCACCAUAUUAUGAUAAUAAUGUGUUGUGAUUCCUGAGACUGCUUAUAUGUUGGCAAUCGUAGUCAAAGAUGGUUGUCAAACAUCCUUGCAAAUCAAGAAGCUAAUAAAGACCAGAUCGCACUACAUUAACAUAUAUCAGUUCUUUGAUAAAAAGAUAUUGAAUGUUAUACACUCUAAUCCCAAGUCCUGAAACAUAAAACAAAAGUUCACUUCACACCCUCAUAAAGCUAGACAGCUACAGAAAAGGAGAAUAGACAUUGGAUAUAGGUCAAUAAAUCAUUAAGCUAAUUAAUGCACAUGAAGGAAUCUGUUAGAGCUGGUUGUAUAGCCCUUAUCAGAGAACUCACAGAAGCAUUCAAUUUCCUAAAAGGAGAUAGCUUCAAACAUAAACAUUUUGAUAGGCAGCAAUACACAUAAAAUAGCUUCACUUGCCAUUAAGGAAUAUGCUAGUAUUGACUUACAAGAUAGCAACUGAUAAUUCAUUCAGUUGCACAUACAUAUUCCUAAAGUCUUAACUUUCAAAUCGAUUGCUGCUCAUUCCUUUAUUUAGAAACAUACGCGAUGGUGAUUAAUCCAGAUCUCUACGAUGCCGUUCAAUUUUCAUAUUCUCAUAAUCAUAAAUUCAUUUUAAGAAUAUCAACUCCACUAUUAAGAACACAAGCUUGAUCAAACAAUACUAUUAGCUCAUAAGUUCAUCAAUGCCAGCAGCUGCUUAAAUAAAUUAACAAACUGCUGUACCGUACAUCCGCCUUGGCCGUACAGCAGAUUUGCCCUCAACAACAAUCUCAGCUUCAAGCCAUGUCUCUUUGGGAUUGGUGCUUUGCAUCCUUAAGUUCAAAUUAUCAAGAUCACAAGUGCCUGUUGAUUGAUUAGUGGACCAACAAGUCAGAUAUGAUGAGACAAAACUCAAAGAUGCUGACUUUUCGUUCGCAUUUUCCAUGAUACCAUCAAGAACCAUAUUCAAACUGAAUCUAUAUAUAUAUAUAUAUAUAUAUAUAUAAAACCAGGGCUUAAGGUAUAUCCAGACUACGUGUGUUAGGGGCCGCACCCUUGUGGUGGCUCUAUCCCACGCACGUGGGUGAUGUGGCACUAAAUGUGUAGACGUUACUCGUGGUCCGGGUGCUUUUAAGUAUAAAAUAGUGCCUCUUUUAACAGCUUAAGUUUUUGGGAGGAUUGGUAAGCGGCUUAAGUGAAUAUAUAUAUAUAUAUAUAUAUAUCAAGAGAGAAUACUAUCAAUCACAAUGAAAUGCUUAUAAGUUAUAACUGAAGCUUGAAUCGCGAUCUACCCAUUAGCUUUAAGUAACAAACGGUAUACAAACGGCGGGGGAGAAAAGUGGAGAUACGCUAAUUCUUCCUAUUAAAAUGGAGUGAUCCUAGAAAAUGGAGUGAUCUUAGAAAGGGCAUCUAAAUGAGAAGUCAAAAGAGCUGUGAAGAUUUUUAUUUAGAGGAUAUAAUUUUAUAUGUAAGAUUCUAUAAACUAAUCUCAUAAAUUAUUAUUUAUUAGUUUGUAUUGUUGCACUAAACACAUUAUAUUUGUGAAUAUAAUCACUCUAUUUCUCCAUCUCUCACUACUUUCUAAAUUUUUCUUGAUUUUUUUAAGGAACGAAGAAUGCCGAUGAGGAUGAUGACGGCCCUGAACGAUUGUCAGAAGCCAUGUCCUGGCAAAAUGCCUUCCGCACGUGGAAGCAAGCCCUUUUAAGUUUCUGCGCUUCCGGAGUACCAAAUUCCAGAAGAGAAGCAUCAGACCAAUCACAAUUCAUAAACUCCUCAAUGACUUUGGAGGAGUGAGGGAAGUAGCGUCGACCCGUCUCGACUGCAAUCAUAGAAAGUUCAGUAAAUGCUCUAAGAAAAGACCAUUUUGUUGAGAUAUCAAUGUAAUAAAAAUUAACCUCUCUCUUUGGAUACAAAAACUAAUAAGGUAUAUAAAUACCUGUUUUAAGCAGAGCCUACAGUCUCUUGGCUUGCAUAGAGGGUGUUUCAUUCAAAUCAACCUCCUUUAAGUUCCCACUUGAUCCUUUUGAUUUUGAUGCUGAAAGGCCAGUACAAAAAUUGGUGGCAUCUGCAUCUGCUAUGUCCAUAGCUAUUAUAGCUUCAGAAGGAAACAGGCACCGCGCAAAAGACACUGCAAAACAUUAAGAAGCUUUUAUGGCACUCAUACAUGAUAGGAAUAAAUUAUUUCGUAUCUCAAUUCUUUUUUUUUUUUUGUGGGGGGGGGAGUAUUGACAACAAAGACUGGGCUGUAACACUGAGACUAAAUCAUUGUGCAAUUAUUUAUUAAAACUAGUUCAGUCGAAACCCCCAUGCCCAGAACAUACGGAUACACAAUUGCCUAUCCAAGAUAGUGGAUGGAAUUAUGGCUGGCUAACAGUUUGCCACAAGCAAUUACUGGCUUCCAAAAACAAAUGCGAUUUGUUCUGGAAACUGUUUUCCAUUACAUUCUGCUAUAGGUACCGAGAAUGAUAAAAUGGAUCAUUCCAGAUGCUUCGGAGUUCUAGUUGCUGAAAAUAUUCACUUCCAAAUAACAAAAAUAACAGUUCAUCAAAAAGUCAUGAUGCUAGCACAAGUGUAGACUGUGUAGUUAUCCCAUUUACAGCAAUGUUUGAGAUGCUAAGAUGAAGGAACAAACAAACAGUAGAAACAAGUGUGCGAUGCACAAACUCUGAGAAGGUGAUGAACUAAUACCAGUAAAGAAAUAUCACCUCUAUUUUCCAGAUAGUUCAGCUUCAUUUGGAAAUCAUCAGCCAUCACCUCUGAUGACAGUGCCAAGUUCCCAGACAUGGAGUUCCUUCUCAUUUCUCUCUCAAGGACAUCAAUGCAUAACCGGUCUUUGUUAGUUUCCUGCCCUUGCUUUGUAGCUUCAAUAUAAUCCUUUCUCCUUGUCAUUCUCCGACAGAUUGCCACAGCUGUUUGCCCAUCUGAUGUAGUUUCUGAUGCGCAUCCUCCCUUGCUCAGCAGAGUCACCAGCACUGCUGGCUCCUUACGCCUUGCAGCCACAUGAAGCACCGUAUGUCCUCUUGCAUCCUUAAGAUUGAGACCAGCCGAGUCCAUAUUGAGCACUUCCUUAAAAACCUUAGGGCUGCAGUAGGCAGCAGCAUAGUGCAGAGCAUAGGCAUCAUCCAAAGUGACAUUAGAUUCAUCCAGAAGAAGCUUCAACAGUUCAAAGUCAUAAGAGUCCAGUGCCUCGUGGAUUCCUCUGACUCUUGUUGCAUGCAUAGGAUCCACUUCUGCUAUAUUCGCCUCACACUCCUGGUUAGAUUUGACACGGAGUGAUUUGAUUUCACUUGAAACUUCAUCAGGAAGCUCUUUCUCGAGACAGACAUUAUCAAGAUUUUACCUUACCACUCUCUGGAUGCAGGGAGAGCGGAGCUGGUUCAGUUGGCAAUGGAAGGCAGCCACAAGAAUUGGAAUUACAAUGUAGCUUAGAGAGACCUUUAAAUGUUAGUAUAAUCAUUAGCAAAAAUAGAUUUUUGAGUAUGAUACAUCAUCCGAAGAUAGCUCAUGAGAUUCAGAGUUUGUGUAAUAUUUACACAUACACAUAUAACAUUAUAUUUAUUUAGUGAUUGAUUAAUUUUAAAAUUUUAGACGUAAUUUAUUGCAUUCUUUCUCUAGCUCAUAAGUUGAUAAAAAAAUUUCUUUAAGUAAUGUAUGACAUAUGAAGUACUAUUUUUAUCUUUAAUUUGGAAUAAGUAUAACUGACUAAGACAACUAUAAUGGAAUAAAUUUUUGAAAAGGUUUAACAUUAUAUUAUUAAGGAUGAGGUUGUUUAUAAUUUUGUACUCUCAAAAAAAUUAUAAACACCGAUGGUUGAAUGAGAUUUUGAAUUAUUAAAAUAUUAAUAAUUCAAUUUCCUGUUAGUGACAAACUUGCAUAUAUAACAAUUCAGAAAAUAUAUGUUACAAGUUUUUUAACAUCCAUUCACUUACACUCAUUUGACAUAAAAAUAUUUUAUCAUUAUAUCAUUUAAGGGUGAGGUUGUUUACAAUUUUGUAUUCUAAAAAAUACUAUAACACUGAAGGGUGAAUGAGAUUUUGAAUUAUUAAACAAUUCAUAAUUCAAUUUAUUGUUAGUGAUGAACUUGUUUAUAUAACAAUUCAAAAAAUAUAUAUUACAAGUUUUUUAACAUCCAUUCACUCACUCAUUUGACAUAAAAUUAUUUCAUCAUAAAUCCUAGUUGUGUUAAUUUCCCACAUUCAUUAAUGUUCAUUAAUCUCACUUUACAUUUUUCUUCAACAAUUAUCAUAAAUAUAUACAAAAUAAAGUAAUGAUUUAGUGGACAAUUGUCUAUAUAGAACUGUCUAGUUAAUACACAAUUUAAAUACUAUUUUAUAGAGAAUCGCAGAAUUUUACCACAUGUUCAGCAGUUCAGGUGCUAUGAUGGACACUUGUACUCACUAGAUCAUCACACAACAAAAUAAUCAAAAGAAAUUUAUUAGUAUUAAUCAAUGCUAUUUUUAUUAUGUUGUGGUCCAAAAAUGGCCAGUGAAUAAUGAGGAUGGCAAAAUUACAAUAGCCAAUUCUAGCGGCCGUUGAGCAUGAGAAUUUGGGUAUAAAAUUAAUUAAAUUUAAAAAAUUGGUAAUUUACAAAUUUUGUAUUUUCUUUUCUUAAUUAUUAUUAUAUGGGUGAUGUGCACCUCAAGUCACAUUUAUUAUAUUAUAAAUUUAAAAUUUAAUAUCUACAAUUGAAAAUUUUAUAUUUCUUCGGGAGGGUAAUGAGCAACAAAUUUUUAGAUAAAAAUUCUGUUAAAAAGUUCUACAUAUAUAUAAUUCAUAUCCAUCCAUUUCUAAUUUCAAUUUCAAUGAAAAUUCUGCAUAUUCAUCUAUUUCGAAGAACAUUAAUGUCAUCUCAACCAAUUUCUGUAUGAGAGUCAGUACUGUAAAAUACAGGUACAAAUGCCUUUUCUUUCCCCCCUUUUUCUCCCUGAAAGAAGUUACACAUGACUCGAGUUUUCAGAUGAAGAUAUGGAGAUUUUUUUUUUUUGAAAAAAAAAGCUAUAUUAUAAAGUGAUUUAAACAGAUAAAAUAAACAAAUAAUUAACUGACAUAUUUUUCCCCUCUAAAAUUAGAAAAUUCUGUCAUUUAGUAUAUUACAUUCCAAAUACCUGGGAAAAUACAACAAUGCAAGCUUGAAGUUCCUCUGCUAUUUUACAACAUAGCCAUAACAUAGGCUCUAAGAGUAUCUCUCCACAAGUAACAAUCAAACUCAGUAAAACUCUCUUAGUUUCCUAUAAAUGAAUACAAAGACAAGCAGCUAAGCAUCACCUUUUCCUACCCUUACACUUUACUCCUUCCUUUGGAGAAGAUGACGAUGACGUGGAUGACGACAAACCUGAACGAUUUUUCUCAGCCAUGUCCUUGUAAAAUGCCUUCUUCACGUCUUCUUUGAGUUCCAUGAAGCGUGUCCUUUUGAGUUUCUGCUCUUCAGGAGUACCCUUUUCGAGGAAGGAAGCAUCGGACCAAUCACAAUCCAGAAACUUAUCAACCACUUCCGAGCAACGAGUACGAGGGAAGUAGCGUCGACCCGUCUACACUACAAUCAUAGAAAGUCCUGUAAAUGCUCUAAGAAAAUGUCUCCAGUGGUGCAAAGGUUCUAACAUUUUGUUGAGAUAAAUACCUGUUUUAAGCAGAGCUUGCAGUCUUAAUUGGAGUCUCUUGGGUACAGCAGUCUUUCUCUAGCUCAUAAGUUGAUAAAAAAAUUUCUUUAAGUAAUGUAUGACUAAUAAACCUCCUUUAAGUUCCCACUUGAUCCUUUUGAUUUUGAUGCUGAAAGUCCAUCAUAAAAAUUGGUGGCAUCUGCAUCCGCUCUAUCCGUAGCUACUCUAGCUUCAGAAGGAAACAACAACCGUGCAAAAGCCACUGGAAAACAUUAAGAAGCUGUUAUGGCGCUCAUCCACGACAGGGGAAAGAGUAUUGACAACAAAGACUAGGCUGUAACACUGAGACUAAAUCCUUGGGCAAUUAUUUAUUAGAAACUAGUUUAGUCCAGAUCAUAUGGAUGCACAAUUGUCUAUCCAAAAAAGUGGUUGGGAUCACGAUAGGCUAACAGUCUGCUCCAAGCAACUAGUGGCUUGCAAAGACAAAUUCAAAACACAUGCAACUUGCUUUGGAAACUGUUUUCUAUGACAUUCUUUUAUAGGUAUUGAGAAUCAUAAAAUGGAUCAUUCAAGAUGCUUCGGAGUUCUAGUUGCUGAAAAUAUUCACUUCCAAAGAACAAAAAUAACAGUUUAUCGAAAUGCCUAUGAAGGGACAAACAAACAGUAGAACCAAGUGUGCUAUGCACAAACUCUGAGAUCCGACCAAAACACAAAGUACAAAGACAUCGCUGUAAUAAAAAUGUCAUGGACGGUUGAUAUGGCCCUGCAUAAGUUGGUGAUUUAAGAGAAAUGAUUAAACUUUACCGAUUAAAAAAGAAAUGACAAUUGAACUAAAAUGAAAAUAUUCAAUCAUCUGUUACUCCACAUCGACCCGCUGUAUGUUGGAGAAACUGGAAAAUGCGAAAAGGGGCAUUUCAUUUUUUUUCUUAAAAAAAUUGAGAGAGAGAGAAACACUAAUCUUUUAAAUGAAGGAAGUACAUGUUUGUUGAAAAAUCAUGCACGUGGCAUGCAAAUUCAAGAAAGCAUGCAAUUUUUCAAAGAGCUACCAAACAGUUGAAGAAAAAAUAAAAAGUUGGUAAAUUUCUCAAAUUUGCCAAAUGGACACCAUUGACAUAUUUGCAUGGGUUAGGUGGAAUAGUGCUUGGGUUAGGUGAAAUAGUACUUGGGUUAGGUGGAAUAGUACUAGCUUCAAGCCUAUAAAUAGAGAGCAUUUCUUCAUUCCAUAUCAUCCCAAAAUUGUUAAGCUUAUAAGUUUCUAAGCUUUUGAGAGAAGUGAGAGAAGUAUGUCUGGGGAAUUUAUCUUUCCUGCAGAGUGUGAGAGUACUGGGUAUAUUUGAGUUUCUGGGAAGUGAAAUUCGUUACUCAAAUAUUUGUACUAUAUUAAUUAUUAAUAAUACAAUUAUUCUUUUUUGCCUCUGUGGAUGUAGGUUUAAUUACUGAACCACGUAAUUCUUGUGUCCUUUAUUUUUCUAUAAUUAUUUGGUGUGCUUGAUUCCGCAUUCCGGGUAGAACAAGUGGUAUCAGAGCCGACGGUUCGUACUUGGGGGAUACGGUAUUGUUUACGUAUACGGUACUAUUCACGUAUAUGGUACUGUUCACGAAUACGGUGGAGAUGGCCAUUUGUACUUGGGAGACAGUCUAUUGUAAGUAGUGUGUAUUUUUGCAUGUCUAGAAAAGUUCUGUCAACAAAGGCGAUAAGAGUCUAAGGAUUCUGGUUUUUAAUUAGGACUGAGUUCCCGUCCAGUCUCCUGGGAACUUUCCUAGUGCAUUUAUUCACGCGAAAUUAACAUCAUAGAGACUGUUUUUCAAGUGGAAAUAGUUCGUUGAGAAAAUAGUAGAAGGUGAAACUUCCAGAAUUGGGGAGAGAUCUACCGAGACUAUUUCAGGAGACACUUCAGGUGGGAGGCAAAAUCAACUUCGGCAUAUGGAGGCGCGAAGUUAUGGACGCCCUUAUUCAAAUCGAUCUGGAUGUUGUUCUGAAAAAUAAAAGACACUUGUAUGAUGAAGAAAUUUGGGAUCGUAUGAAUAAAAAAGCAUGUGGUCAUAUCAGAUCUUGUUUGACCAAGGAGGUGAAAUACUUGGUGAAGGAUGAGGAGUGUGCGAUGACUUUGUGGCGUACAUUGGAGGAGAAGUACUUGCUAAAAAGUCCUAAAAAUCGUCUUCAUGCAAUGAGCCAAGUAUAUGGCUUUCGAAUGAAGCAUGGGGUGUCAAUUUACGAUCAUGUCUCAAGAUUUGAAAAAUUACUUGCUGAUUUGAAGAAUCUUGAUGAAGAUAUUAAGGAUGAAGUCAAGGCUAUGAUUCUGUUACACUCACUACCAGUGGAAUAUAGCCAUUUUGUGACUACCUUGAUAUAUGGGAAAAGUGUGAUCAUCUUCAAAGAUGUUUGCACAGCAUUGACUAACUUGGAGAUUCGGAAUAAUAAUAAAAAUUCUGAACGAGCAUCGUCUGAAGCUUUGGUGAGCAGAGAUUGGGCGAUGGAGAAAAAGAAAAAGCGUGGUGGAAAGAAUUCUCGAUCCAAAUCGAGAAGUAGAAAUAUAGCUCGAGACGAGUGUGCCUUUUGUCAUGAAAAGGGUCAUUGGAGGAAAGAUUGUCCAAAGGCUCAAAAGAGAGAUAGGAAGAAACCAGCAGCAAUAAAUAUGGCACGGAAAGAUGAGGACUCUGAUUAUUCACUAAGUAUUACUCCUGCAGCAUACGUGGCUAGUUCGAGCGAGUGGAUACUUGAUAUUGGAGCAACAUAUCAUUUGUGUCCUAUUAAGGAAUGGUUUACGGAUUUUCGUAAUCUGGAAUCCGGUGCAGUUGUGAUGGGGAAUAAUCAACCUUGUCGCACAAUGGGGAUAGGAACAAUUCGGCUCAAAAUGUUUGAUGGAAUGGUCAGAGAACUCAAAGAGGUUAGAUUUGUUCCAGCUUUAAAGAAAAAUCUAAUUUAUGUGGGUGCUUUGGAAGCUAAAGGCUACAAGGUUACCAUUGAAGAUGGCACAAUGAAGUUUACACAUGGGGCUAUGGUGAGUCUACAAGGGGUUCGACGUCACAGUUUGUACUAUAUAAAGGGAGAUACAACUGAUGAAGCAAAUAUUGUUGAGGCGCACAGUGACACCACCAAGCUAUGGCAUUUACGAUCGGGAGAUUCUGGCGAGAAAUCUUUGCAAACUCUGAUGAGGCACUGACUCUUAAAAGGUACCAAAACCUGUAAAUUAAAUUUCUGUGAGCAUUGUGUAGUAGGCAAGAAAACAAGGGUCAAGUUUGGUACAGUUAAUCACGAUACUCGUGAGAUCCUUGAAUAUGUUCAUAGUGAUGUAUGGGGACCAACCAAGACUGCAUCAAUUGGUGGAAGCCAUUAUUUUGUUACAUUUGUUGAUGAUUUCUCUAGACGUGUGUGGGUGUACACCAUGCNNNNNNNNNNNNNNNNNNNNNNNNNNNNNNNNNNNNNNNNNNNNNNNNNNNNNNNNNNNNNNNNNNNNNNNNNNNNNNNNNNNNNNNNNNNNNNNNNNNNNNNNNNNNNNNNNNNNNNNNNNNGUACGGUGUAUGUUAUCUAAUGCUGGUUUAGAUAAAAAGUUUUGGGUUGAAGCUGUGAGUUGCGCAAGUCACUUGGUAAACCGGUUGCCUUCUGCUGCAAUUGGAGGUAAAACUCCUAUGAAAAUGUGGUCUGGAAAGCAUGCACAAGACUAUGAUUCCCUUCGUAUAUUCGAGUGUUCAGCUUAUUAUCAUGUCAAAGAUGGUAAAAUGGAUCCUCGUGCUAGUAAAGCUAUCUUUGUAGGAUUCAAAGGUGGAGUAAAGAGCUUUAAGCUUUGGGAUCUCGAAGACAAAAAGUUUGUGUGUAAAAGAGAUGUCACAUUUGAUGAAGCUUCAAUGAUGAAAGCUUUAAAUUCUCAACAGGUGGAGAAUAAGACCAAAGAGGUAUUACAGUGGGUGGAGUUUGAUGCAACUCCAUAUGUACCAGUUAGUUCUACAUUAAAUAAGGGUUCAUGUAACAUAUGCACUUUGAUUUUUCUUAAUUAAGUGUAUGAUUUAAUUUUUCCUCUUCGUUAUUAAUUUUAAAAUUUGUCACGACAUUAAAUCGAGAUAAUUUGAGUGCGAUUAAAAGUUCGAAUAGUUGGAUUUUAUUUUCGUCACGGGUUCGGUAUUAGUUUAAUUUGUAUUAAGCUUAAGAAAAAAAAAGGAAGAAGAAGUCGGUUUUUUUAUAUGGAAAGGGGGGGAAACUAUUUUUAGAAAGGAAGGAGAGAGAGGAGGCACGAGAGAGAGAGAGAGUGAGUGUUUGACCCGAUUUUUGACCCGCAAACCCGACCCGACCCGCGACAUUGACCCGGACGGAUCUCCCGAUUCCGGCCACCUCACCGGCCGAGCUUGGUACCGAUCUGAAGCUUGGAAGUCGACCGUCAUAACCCCGCCGUCCUCGUCACCGGAAACCAACCAAAACGCUGGCGAUUAAGCUCGAAAACUCGCGGCCAAGGCCCGUUUUCGCCGCCGUCGAUUUUGCCAGAGUUUGGGCACACUUCCAACUGGUUUCUACUCCUCACGUUACCAGCAUCAUUUUCCGACCAACCUCGUCACCCGAAACGGCCGGAUUACCGCCGAUCAGCCACUUGGAAAGCUUACGGCCUGGGAAGCUUGAUCCGCCGCCGGCACCGCGCGUGGGGACUCACGGCCACCACCAUUAGACUCACCGAGGUCUAAACUAUCAGACCUAAGCUUCCCGUUGUCGUUGACUGAAGUCCGGUCACCGUUUACCGGCAGGGGCAAUUCGGUAAAUUCAUAAAACUUUAGGGUGAAUUUAUAAUUUAUGGAAUCAGUGGAUAAUUUGGUAAUUUUAAGUUAGGGCAGUGAGGUAAUUUGAGAUUUCGAGGGUAAUUCGGUAAUUUAAGUCGUUAAGGACAUUUUGGUAAAUUUAUGCUCCGAGGGUAAUUUCGUAAUUUCUGACAUUGUGGUUAUUUAUGUGAUCUAAAUUGAGGACCAUUUAGUAAUUGAAGAUUCUGAGGAUAAUUUGGUAAAAUAAUGAUGUUGGGGGUAUUUGAUAGAUAUUCGUUUCCAGAUUUAUUAUAUAAAAUUAGUUGUAUUUCAAGUUUACGGAGAAUGAUUAUGGCGUUUCCUUGAUUAGGAGGAUCUGCGAACGAGAAUCAAACCGCAGACGUUGUUGAUACCAAGUCUGGACAUCAUCACUGUGAGUGGAAUAUGCAAAAUCUAUUUUCAUAGUAUGUGCUGAUUUUAUGAUACAGUGCAUUAUGUUUUGAUAAAUAAGUAUUUGAUGCUUCGAUUUAAUGAUUUUCUAGAAAAUUGAUUUUUAUCUAUGUGUUGAUAUUUAUUGUUACUAAGAAUGAGUUUGAUUAGUGAUUUUAUGCAUGAUAUUAGAAUUGAGCAGAUUUGAGAUAUGUUGCAUAGAAAGAAAAUGAGAUUUCAGAUGUGAUUAUAUGUUUAUGUACAUGAGUAUAAAUGUUGUUUGGAAAAUCAUUGGACAGUACCCUUUCCCUCUAGAUACAGAGAUACAGAUAAUAUGAGAUGAAUACAGAGAUACAGAUGAGAUGAGAUAGACGCCUUUGGGGCCCGUCUGAACACACAUAGAGGCUUUGGGCCGUGUGUUUGGGCGCUUUUGCCUUUUGGGGGCUUAUGCAUGCAGUAUGAUGAUUACAAAAAUACAGAUGUUGAGAUACAUGAGAUAUGAGAUGAGAUUUUCCCCAUCUAUCUGUUGUAGCUCCGGGGCAUGAUGGUUCCCUGAUUGCCCGUCCGUCGAGGUCCGGAUAUGAUGAGAUCAUUCCUCUGGGUACUUGUUUGAUGAUAGUUUUUGGUAUUCAGUAUUUGAUAUGAUAAGUAUUAUGAUUCCAUCGAUUCUAUGUAGAUUUAUGUAAUAUAGAAUUUCAGUGAUUGAUUUGAAUUAAAUAAGUUUAUGUAAGUUCUUAUGAUAUUUUGAUGAAAUUGAUUUGAGAAAUUGAUUUGGGAAAGAUUAAGUCAUUUUAAAUAAAUUUAUUUAUUUUUCCAAAAACUAUUAUCCAAUCACUGAGCUCACUGAGUUUUAUACUCACCCCGUUUUUAUUAUAUUUUUCCCCCCACAGGAGAUUUGCAGGUACAUCAGUUGACCCAGUAACGAAUGUUAGUUUUGAAAUUGUGGCCACGUGAUGGUGCUAAGAGUCGUAGAUUUAACAAUUUUGAUUUAUUAUAUUUUGUAAUUAAGGAUAACCUAUGUAUUUUAAUAUUAGAAUGAUUUUGAUGAAAUUUGAUAUGUUGACUUGAGAAGUUGGUUAUGAGAGUUGGAUGGAUAUUGAAUUAUUUUUGGGAGUAUGGUUUUGUAAAUUGCAGGUUUGGGGAUGUUUUAUUUAUAAGGGAGAUUCUGCCGAAUUUUUAAUAGAAUUCUUAGAUAUCAUAAAUAAUAUUGAUUUGAUUAUACGAGUUUAGAUAGACUCGCCCUGGGGGUUCGGGGCGGGUCGUUUCAGUUCAAUUAUGGAGGUGACACCUAGAGUUGAAGAAGAGGUUGUUUCUUCUGAUGUCCCACAAAAUGAAGAAAUAAUUGAUGAUGUAGAUAAUGAUGAUUUUAUAGCAACAAGGAGGCCAAGAAGAGAGAUAAAGAAAUCCGGAUAGGUUACUAAAGAUAUGGUGGUAGCCUAUGCACUUCCAGUUAUUGAUGAUGACAUCCCCAACACUUUCGGUGAAGCAUUACGCAGCAGUGCAAGUGAUCAGUGGAAGUUAGCCAUGGAGGAAGAGAUGAAAUCUCUCCAUCAAAACCAGACUUGGGAACUUGUAAAGUUACCAAAGGGGAAAAAGGUUAUUGGUAAUAAAUAGGUCUACACCAAAAAGCAAGGAUCUCUAAAUCAAUCAACUCCUCGAUACAAGGUAAAGCUCGUGGCAAAAUGUUUUGCUCAGAAGGAAGAUAUUGACUACAAUGAAGUUUUCUCUUCAGUUGUAAAACAUACUUCCAUUCGUAUCCUACUUGCCUUAGUUGCAGAAUAUGAGUUAGAGUUGGCUCAAUUGGAUGUUAAGACGGUGUUCUUAUAUGGAGAUUUGGAGGAAGAAAUGUAUAUGAUUCAGCCUUGUGGUUUCAGAGUUGCUGGAAAGGAGAAUCAUGUAUGUAGGUUGAUUAAAUCUUUGUACGGACUGAAGCAAUCGCCAAGGCAGUGGUACAAAAGAUUUGAUCAAUUUAUACAAGGGCAGAAUUCACUAGAAGUGAACACGAUCAUUGUGUUUACUUUAGAAGACUACUAGAUGGAGCUUUCAUCUAUUUGUUACUCUAUGUCGACGAUAUGCUUAUAGCUUCAAAGAAUGGAGAUGAGAUCAAAAGAUUAAAAAAGCAGUUGGCUUCUGAGUUCGAGAUGAAAGACUUGAGUGAUGCACAUAGAAUACUUGGGAUGGAGAUUCGUAGAGACAAGAAGAAUGGGAGCGUAUGGUUGACUCAAAAGUCUUAUUUGAAGAAAGUGCUAGAAAGAUUUGGUAUGGAUGACAAAACUAAACCGGUAUGUACACCUCUAGCUCCUCAUUUCAAAUUAAGCUCUUCUUCAUGUCCUAGAUCUCAAGAGGAGUCAGAGUUGCUGGAAAGGAGAAUCAUGUGUGUAGGUUGAUUAAAUCUUUGUACGAACUGAAGCAAUUACCAAGGCAGUGGUACAAAAAAUUUGAUCAAUUUAUACAAGGGCAGAAAUUCACCAGAAGUGAACACGAUCAUUGUGUUUACUUUAGAAGACUACUAGAUGGAGCUUUCAUCUAUUUGUUACUCUAUGUCGACGAUAUGCUUAUAGCUUCGAAGAAUAUAGAUGAGAUCGAAAGAUUAAAGAAGCAGCUGGCUUCUGAGUUCGAGAUGAAAGACUUGGGUGAUGCACAGAGAAUACUUGGGAUGGAGAUUCGUAGAAACAAAAAGAAUGGGAGCGUAUGGUUGACUCAAAAGUCUUAUUUGAAGAAAGUGCUAGAAAGAUUCGGUAUGGAUGACAAAACUAAACCGGUAUGUACACCUCUAACUCCUCAUUUCAAAUUAAGCUUUUCUUCAUGUCCUAGAUCUCAAGAGGAGCGCGAUUACAUGGCUUGUGUUCCAUAUGCUAGUGCUGUGGGUAGUCUUAUGUAUGCUAUGGUAUGCAAAAGGUCUGAUAUAUCUCAAGCAGUGAGCAUGGUUAGUAUAUACAUACACAAUCUGGGUAAAAAUCAAUGGCUUGCGGUAAAGUGGAUUCUCCGAUAUCUGUAUGGGACAGUUGAUGUUUGGUUAUUGUUCAAGAAGGAUUGUGGUCAACAAUGUGUUGGGUAUUGUGAUUCUGAUUUCACUGGAGACCUUGACAAGCGAAGAUCAACAAUGGGCUACGUAUUCACAUUGGGUGGAGGAUCGAUUAGCUGGAGGUCGAUUCUACAAUCGACAAUUGCUUUGUCCACUACGGAAGCAGAGUAUAUGGCAGCAACUGAAGCUGUAAAAGAAGCUAUCUGGUUGAAAGGCUUGUUAGGUGAUUUGAGAGUAAUCCAAGAAAACAUUGUGGUCUUUUGUGAUAACCAAAGUGCGAUAUUCCUAGCGAAGAAUCAAACAUAUCACGCUCGGACAAAGCACAUAGAUGUGAAAUAUCAUUAUGUGAGGGAGAUUAUCGAAGGUGGUGAUGUGUUGUUGAAGAAGAUCGAUACAAAAGAUAAUCCAUAAGAUAUGUUGACGAAGGUAGUUUCUGGAGUUAAGUUUCAACAUUGCUUGAAACUAAUUCAAAUCCUUCGCUUGUGUUAAGAUAUGUCCUUCGGGAAUUUUGAACUACGGUUGGCUUGAUCCCAAAUUUUGGGUACGUAGGCAGUCACAGAGAUGCAGCCACCUUAGGGAUGAUGGUUCAUUGGUAGUCGGCUUAGAUUUGGACAAAUUUUCGCCGAGGUGGAGAAUUAUUGAAAAAUCAUGCACGUGGCAUGCAAAUUCAAGAAAGCAUGCAAUUUUUCAAAGAGCUACCAAACAAUUGAAGAAAAAAUGAAAAGUUGGUAAAUUUGUCAAAUUUGCCAAAUGGACACCAUUGACAUAUUUGCAUGGGUUAGGUGGAAUAGUGAUUGGGUUAGGUGGAAUAGUACUAGCUUCAAGCCUAUAAAUAGAGAGCAUUUCUUCAUUCCAUAUCAUCCCAAAAUUGUUAAGCUUAUAAGUUUUUAAGCUUUUGAGAGAAGUGAGAGAAGUGUGUCUGGGGAAUUUAUCUUUCCUACAGAGUGUGAGAGUACUGGGUAUAUUUGAGUUUCUGGGAAGUGAGAUUCGUUACUCAAAUAUUUAUACUCUAUUAAUUGUUAAUAAUACAAUUAUUCUUUCUUGCCUCCGUGGAUGUAGGUUUAAUUACUGAACCACGUAAUUCUUGUGUCUUUUAUUUUUCUAUAAUUAUUUGGUGCGCUUGAUUCCGCAUUCCGCGCACAACAAUGUUAAUACAAGUUAACGUCUGUAUGAUGUAUCUCACAAAACCAUCAUUCAUAAUCAAUGCCGUAUGUUAGUCAGAGACUGUCUUACAAACCCACCAUGAAAAUGGCAGCUGAAUGUAACAAUCAAGUGAAUACAUGGCCAAACAAGUUUAACGGGUGUCUAAAAUUCACGAUAAAUGAAUAACAAAACCGGUGAUCAAAGCAAUUCGAGGCCAAAAAUACAUACAUAUAUACAUACAACAGAGAACAGAGUAGAACCGAACGGAACCAAUAAUAUCAAACUGAAACAAAAUCAGAAACAGAACUGAAACAGAGUGUUUCAUAAAAAAAUACAGCAAAAAAGAAAAGAAAAAGAAAAGAAAAGAAGAAUAUGUGAAUGAAUAACAAAAAUACAAGAAUGAUACAUGCAAAGUCUAGUUUUGGGUAUGUAUGUACCUGAAACAGAGAAAAAUUAUGUCACCGGAAGUUGCGCGAAGGUUGAAAUAAAAACAAUUUGAUGUUUCGCUAUCGUUUUGGCCCUGCGUUACAUACCAGUAAAAAUUUGGAUUUUUUUUUCCCUAUUUUUAAUAUUUUAAUGUUAAUUAUUAGUAUUAUAAUAAUAUUAUAUCUUUAUUAUUAAGUAUUGGAUUCGAAUGUCGUGCUCGAAAGGGCAAACAGGAAACGCACGAAGCCAGGGAAAGGAAAUCUGGAGCCCUUUUCCCGAGAGCUUUCUCACGCAACUUCAAUAAUUUUCUAUUUAGUCUUUCUAUAAUUGUUAAUUAAUUAAUAAGUCAAUUUCUUUUUUCUUUUUUUCUUUUUUAACCCAUGCAAAUUAAAAGUUUACGACAAGCAAAAUUAAAUAUUUUACUAUCUAUAUAGAUUUAUAACAACUCCAUACCGUACGUCACCUAAAACAAUUUAAUGAAGCACUUAAUUUGAUCACGAGUCACGAGAUUUUGAUAUAAUUGGAAUAACAAUAAUAAAAAGAAUUACUACUACUUCUAGUUAAAAUAGUUUUAAAAAGUAAAUUUAAUUAUAAUUAAUUCUAUUCUAUGUAGAUGCACUUUAACCCCACUCCCCCACCAUCUCUCAAAUUGGAGAAAAAUUUAUGAGAGACCAUUCUAGUAUGUUCAAAUUUAAACUAAAAUACUGAUAAUAUGAUGUACCCAUCUCAUGUAAAUUUUCUCCUCAAAUAACUUUAGUGACCAAUUGCGUACUAUGUGCAAAUGAAGUAGUCCUUGUGAGAAUUAUAUAUAAUUUCUUCUGUUUUGUUUUGUAAAAAUGUGUUUAUGGCUGGAGAGAUUCUAGAGAGGGCAUCUAAAUGAGAAGUCAAAAGAGGUGAGAAGAUUUUUAUUCAGAGGAUAUAAUUUUAUAUAUAAGAUUCUGUAAACUAGUCUCAUAAAUUAUAAUUUAUUAGUUUGUAUUGCUGCACCAAAUACAUUACAUUUGUGAAUAAAAUUGCUUUAAUUCUCCGUCUCUCACUUCCUUCUAAAUUUGUCUUCAGUUUUUUAAGGAAAAAUAAAAGAAUUUCCAUUUUUUUUUCUUUUUUUAAAAAAAGAUUAUCUUAAUCUCAUUUAUAAAUUUGUUAAAAAAGAAAAAAGAAAAAAGAAAAAAAAAACUCAUUCAUGAUGACAGAGAAUUUGAGAUGGUAGUGCCUACAAAACUAAAAGGCAAAGUUUGUUCAGCAACUGAUAUGACACACACAUGCAUGCCUCAUACCAAUUGUAAAUUAUAUAAUUAUCCAAAAAAAAAAAAUUCUAUGAAAUGAGUUUGUGAUCCACGCUAUACGUUCGCGCAUCUCACCGGACUUGAGACAAUACAAUAACUUUACAAACUAAUUGAUACAUGCCAGAUCACUUGAGGCAAAAAAAAAAAAAAAGAAACUACAAAUACCAAUCGAGCUCACUCAACUCCUUUAGUUUUCCGCUGCCGAGGAUGUCGACAUUCCUGAACGAUUGCUCUCAGCCAGGUACUUGUAAAAUGCCGACUGAUUGCUCUCAGCCAUGUACUUGUAAAAUGCCGACCAGGAUGAUGGCAGCCCUGAACGACGGUGAUAAGCCACGUCCUUGCGGAGUGCCUCCUGCACGUAUACUUUAAGUUUCUCCUCGUCCAUUUCUGGGGUGGAAGCAUAGGGCCAAUGCAAAAAGCGAUCAACCAAUUCUGAGCAAUGAGGGAAGUAUCGUUCACCCGUCUCGACUGCGAUCACAGAAAGUUCAGCAAAUGCUCUAAGAAACUUAUAAACAUCCCAAGUUUUUCUGAAGAAAUGCUAUCGGCAUUAAGUCUGUUUUCCAUUUUUUAUUAUUUCAGUUCAACAACCGGCAUCUUAAGGAUAUAAAAUACAUUUUGCAAGGGGCAUGGGGCAUGAAAUUCACAAUUUUUAUAACUAAUUAGCCACAAAUGAAAGAACUGAAGAGUCUUGGAUCACGAAAUUUAUUCUCAAUACGCUUAGGGCGUGUUUGGUGCAUGGGAUUGUGUGGUAUUAUACCACUAUUCACAUUAGUUUAUUGCCAAAAAGAUGUUUGGUAAAAUUUGAGACCUUAUUAUACUGCAUUAUAAUACAGCAUAAUGAGGCAUGGGGCCGCAUUACGCAAACCCGACGGGUUUGCGUAAUGCGGAAGCUUUUUGCCUCAAUUGAGGCAACAGUUAAUGCCUCAAUUGAGGCAAAUUUAUUUUAUUAAAAUAUUAUAAAAAUAAAUUAUUUUAUUAUUAAAUACUAAUAUAAUGAAUAAAAUAUAAAAAUAAAUUAUAUGAUAAUAUUAUUUUAUUUAUUAAUGAUUCAUAUAAAAAUAAUAUAUUAAUAUUAUAAUAUUAUUUACAUUAAUAUUAAUUUUAAAAUUAAUAUUAUUUAAAUUUAUGCAAAUUUAAAUAUUUAUAAUUAUUUAUAUUAAAUUAAAAAUUUAUUAAUAUAUUAAAAUGUAAAAAUAAUAAUAUAUUGUAAAUUAAAAUAUAAUUUAAUAUUAUUGAAUAAUAAUUUAUUAAUUUAUAUUAACAAUUAUAAUAUUAAUUAUAAUCUAAAUUUAUUAUUUACAUAUAAUAUUAAAUUUUAUAAAAUUUUUUAUCAUAAUUAUAAUACAAAUUUUAAGAUUUCUAUAUUUAUUAUUUUUCUAAGUAUUAAUAUAUAUUAUUUUUUAAUUAUUUAAUUUAAUUAAUCAAACAUUCUAUGUUUAUGUUUGUAUCUAGAAGACUCUAUUAGUAUUUUUUUUAAAUCAUGUAAGAAGGAUUGUAAGAUUUAUUUGCUUAUGAGGAAGUAUUGCUCUAUGCUGAUAUGCUGAAUAAUUAGUUGUGCAUAGUUUAUGAUUGAGAAUGAAUUUUUCAAAAUUUUGUGAAAUACAUGAAAAGAGAAAUUAGAUGACUUUUUGAUAUUUUGGAGAUUUGGAUUUAUAGGCAUUUAGUUUCACUCAGAUUCGAUAUGUUUUCUAAGCCCUAAUUGGGUCUGGGUGUCACACCUUCGGUCAAGAGGUAAAGAGUUGAUCCCGUGAGAUUUAGUGUUUCAGGGGUUAGGCAUUGCUAACUCCUUGAAAGUUUUGAAGGACACUGAUUAUGUAGGCAUACCUGCGACAAAUGUCUUAGUGGUAUAAAGAAAGGUUCUGCCAUUUUGUUGAGAUAUCAAUGUACUAAUAAUUACCCUUUCUCUUUUGAUACAUCUGAUUACACCUAACAUAGCACUAUAAAGAAAUUCCAAUUGGAAGGAGAAACCUGGAUACAUGUAUUAGUUAAUCAUAAAGAUAAUCAGUAAAUAGAAGGGUGCAAAAGUUAAUAAAGUAUAUAAAUACCUGUUUUGAGCAGAGUUAGCAGUCUCAAUUGGCGUCUCUUGGCUUGCAUAGAGGGCGUUUCAUUCAAAUCAAUCUCCUUUAAGUUCCCACUUAGUCCUUUCUGACCUAAUGCUGAAAGGCCAGUGGCGGUAUCUGCACCAGCUAUUUCCAUAGCUACUCUAGCUUCAGAAGGAAAAAACCGUACAAAAGCCACUGCAAAAUAUUAAGAAGCUGUUAUGGCACUCAUCCAGGAUAGGCAUAAAUAUUUUUGUACCUCAUUACUUUUGGAAAACAAAAAACAAAAAAACAAAAAAAAAAAGUUUUUGAUGACAAAGUCUUGUACAAUUAUUCAUCAAAAACCAGUUCGGUGCAAACCACAAAGCCUAGAUCAGAUGGAUUCAGAAUUCUCCAUUCCAAAAAAGGGGAUCAAAUCACAUGACUGGCCAACAGUGUGCCCCAAGCAAUGAGCCCAUGUGUGUUUGAGAUGCUAAAAUGAAGGGACUCACAAACUCUUGAGAAGAUGAUUUACUAUCCCAAACAGUAUCUCUCCCAAACACCGGUCCCCCAGUUUCUGGUGUUGGGUAAUGUAGUGGACCAGCAGUGGAAACUCGAUAGUACUCGCUCGCGUGGGAUUAGAAAAGGCUGCCAAGAGUCAUGUCGCAUUUAAUUGCGGACGAGGUGACGUGGCAGAAAUCCCCCCCUCCAUGUGAAUUUCAAACCGACGGUUAUGAGGCCCUUGGGAUUCGGCGCAGUUAUAUGCUGGCAGCCCAAAAGUCCGUCCUCAUUUGGAAAGCCUAAUCCUCUCGAACGGCAUAUUCACCAUUCACUCCGUCUCCGUCUCCGUCUCUGUUUCUCCGGCAAAGAAGUUCCGGCACGAAGUCCCCAUCCUUGCCUUUCUCCGAUUGAAGCAGUACUUCAGGUAUUACUUCUCUCUCCUCGGUCUCGGAUAGUUUGUAGGUAACUUCUUUUUUCUUUCGUUUGGGUAGUAGUUGGUGGUGUUGUGGUUAGAGUUUAGGGAAUGUCGAAAGGUAAAGGGAAGGUCAUUGAGGUUGAUGACGACGAGUUGGACUUCCUGCCCCUGCUGUACCGUACAUCCGCCUUGGCCGUACAGCAGUCAAUUGGCGUCUCUUGACUUGCAUAGAGGGCGUUUCAUUCAAAUCAAUCUCCUUUAAGUUCCCACUUAGUCCUUUCUGACCUAAUGCUGAAAGGCUAGUGGCGGUAUCUGCACCUGCUAUUUCCAUAGCUACUCUCGCUUCAGAAGGAAACAACCGUACAAAAGCCA